GACUGGUUGGUCUAGGGGUAUGAUUCUCGCUUAGGGUGCGAGAGGUCCCUGCUUCAAAUCCCUCACGAGCCC